rnacentral:rRNA from 1 species
AUUGAACGCUGGCGGCAUGCCUUACACAUGCAAGUCGGACGGCAGCACGGGAGCAAUCCUGGUGGCGAGUGGCGAACGGGUGAGUAAAGUAUCGGAACGUGCCCAGUCGUGGGGGAUAACGUAGCGAAGGUUACGCUAAUACCGCAUACGAUCUAUGGAUGAAAGCGGGGGAUCGCAAGACCUUGCCCGAUUGGAGCGGCCGAUAUCAGAUUAGGUAGUUGGUGGGGUAAAGGCUCACCAAGCCGACGAUCUGUAGCUGGUCUGAGAGGACGACCAGCCACACUGGGACUGAGACACGGCCCAGACUCCUACGGGAGGCAGCAGUGGGGAAUUUUGGACAAUGGGCGAAAGCCUGAUACAGCCAUGCCGCGUGCAGGAUGAAGGCCUUCGGGUUGUAAACUGCUUUUGUACGGAACGAAAAGGUUUGGGCUAAUAAGCUGAGCUCAUGACGGUACCGUAAGAAUAAGCACCGGCUAACUACGUGCCAGCCGCCGCCGUAA